UCCGAGGAGCCGGCGGCCCCGCUGGCCGAGAGGCCCGGGUCGGCCACGCUGCCGUAGCCGGUGUCUCCGACGUUCAGGGGCAUGGCGCUGGGCUGCAGUGCUUACUUGCUGGUGAUGCCGCCCCCUGGAGGAAGUCCCGGUAUUUCCUCCUCCCUCAGGAACUUGAUCACAUCCAAAAGGAUAUUCUGAGGCACUUUGAUGUUGGUGACAUCAUAAACAUCCUCGAUGAUGUCAUCAAACAACCGAGGAGGAGCAAGGCUCAUGAUGUGCAGUGGUGAAAACCCUGAGCGCUGUUUCUAAUAGAGAUGUUUGGUUGCCACAUUUACCUACAUGAAAAGGUCGUCGCACACCUGCAGGCGGCUGCGCACGAAAGCACAGAGUUCCUCAUUGCCGAUGGCAUCCCAAACGCCAUCGCACG